UACAGUCAGGGCAUUAUGAUGUGGAGUAGUGACAAUGCACUACCCACUGGACUUUGGGUUUCCACUAUGACAAUCACCUCCCUAUGUUAUAUAAAUACAGAUGUGAAACCACAACCUUCACACUUGUUCUUCAGACAGGACAGCGUCAAUCAAAACACACAGAUACAGACUAAAACUGAACACCAUGAAGGUUCUUGUGGUUCUUGCACUUGCUGUAUUUACAGGUUGCCAGGCCAACCUAUUCUCUGCUGAUGAGCCCAAGCCACAGCUGGAGCAGCUGACUGAUGCAUUCUGGAGCUAUGUGUCAAAGGCAACACAAACCGCAGAGGAAACCGUCAAGAUGAUCAGGUCUUCCCAACUGGGACAGGACGUCAAUGCUAGACUGACUCAGAGUGCCGAUGUGGCCAGCGAAUAUGCCGUCACCCUCAAGAAACAGAUGGAUCCUCUGGCUGAAGAGCUGAUGACCAGAAUCACCAAAGAGACUGAAGUGUUGAGGGAGCGUUUGGGCCAGGACCUGAUCACUGUGAGAGACCAGCUGGAGCCCUAUGCCGACAACCUCAAGAGCCAGAUCCAGCAGAGAGUGGAGGAGCUCAGGACCGCCAUGACUCCAUAUGCCGAAUCCCUGGAUUCUGAGACCCUGAAGGCCACUCUGCUCCAGAAGAGUGAGGAGCUGAGAGGAAACCUGGAGCAGAGCGUGAAGGAGCUGCAGGCUCAGCUGGAGCCCUACACUGCUGAAAUCAAGGAGAAGGUUGACCAGCGUCUGCAGGAGUUCCAGAAGACCGUGACCCCUCUGGCUGAGGAUCUUCAGGCCCAGAUUAGAGAGAGAGCCCAGAUGGUCCAGCAGAGUCUCACACCCUACUCUGAAGACCUGAAGGAAAAGCUGGACCCCUACGCACAGGACCUGAAGGACCAGCUCACCUCCCUGUACGAGUCCUUCAUUAAGAGAAAUUAGAUGUUUCAAAGACUUCUUUGUUCUUAACAGAACCACAGAAUUACUCUAUUUGACAUAUUUGAUCUGUGUUUUUCUCCAUUUAUUCAACCUACCAUGCCUUACACUAAAGCCAAAAAAAGUUUGAUAUACAGUCUAAUAAAUUACAUUUUGCAAAA